ensembl:lncRNA
UUUCUUUUUUUCUUUUAUUCAGUCGUACACUACAAAACUACAUAUUCAUUGAGACUAUAUUCCACCAGAAGAAUCAGUAUGGAAGUUAAUGAAAUAGUUCUAAGUCUCUUAAAAGAUAUAUGUUAUUGCCAACUCUGUUUCAAAGUAAAAAUUUGCUUUCUUAUUUAUCAAACAUAUCUAAAAGGGCCACUUUAAAUUACAUAAAAUAUGUAAAUAGAAUAGCAUGAUGAAGCUCCUAAACUAUGUAUGCAACAGUUCCCCAUACCACUUAGUGAAACAAUAAAAGUAACUGUUAAAUUUUCAUCCAAAAGGAGUAGCAUUAUCCCUUAUCACAGUAACUCUUUGUGUGUACCAAAAUGUUUCUAAGACUGAUUCCUUUCCCAAAUGUAGUUAGGAAGAAAAUGCCACCUGGAUCCAUAAAACAUUUCAUAUUAAAAUGUUCUACUCUGCCACUAGAUGGAGACAACGGAUACAUUUCUACAACGGAUACAUUUCAAUAGACCUUUGGUUUUCUCUAGGGUUUGGUUCCCCCCUGGGAAUACCAAAAUCAGAGUCCAUUAUAUAAAUCCAUUAUAUGCAAUGAGAUAAUAAAAUGGUGGUCCACUGGCCCUUGUACAGAGUGACAAAAUCAAAGUUUGCUUUUUAAUAUUUUCAAGCUGUGGAUGUUUCAAUCCAUGGAUGCAGAAAUCGUGGCUAUGGAGAAUCAACUGUACAUGAGGCAUGAGGAUUUGGAAAAGGACCUCUGCCUCAAUGUCAUCCCAGCUGGGAAACAUCCUGAAUUUGGAAGCCCAAUUACGGGCAUCAUUCUGACACCAGAUCUCAAAGAAAACGACACAUUUCUCAACCAUCUGGAGUUGAGUGUUGUGAAGAAGGAGACUACUGAUCUGAAGAGUCAACCCCAAGAAGAAAAACAAGUGGUCAAGAACCAAGGGAAGGUAUUGUACUAACAAAAGCAAAAACAACUCCAUCUGAACAAACAAAAGAAUGGCUUCACAUAUCUUCCUAUAGGAAUAAUUCUUAAGCAGUCAGCUUUUGUUGUCAUAAUCAUGGAGCUUUAAAUAUCCUUCUGCAAACUGAACAAAUGUAAUUUUUUAAAGUUACCAGCUAUUUCUGCCCUCCCUUUAGCUAAACAAUGAACUGUUGCAGAAAGAUAUUGCAGGAAGAUAUCCUCAAUUCGAAGCAGGCAGGAUAGUAGAUAGAUAGAUAGAUAGAUAGAUAGAUAGAUAGAUAGAUAGAUAGAUAGAUAGAUCUAAUAAUGAGAGAGAAAGAAGCCCCAGAAGCUUCCCCACUUGAGCAAUUACAUAACGAAAAAGUAACGAACAUUUUGUUAUAUUGUUAUAGUUAUGAUAUGGACUCCCUACGAUAUUUUAGAAAUACUAUAGAAACAAUUUGAUGUAGCCCUAAUUUAGUAAUGAGUACUGAAACAUUUUUUUUCAUUGAUUGCACAGGCCUAAGAAACUCCUUUUAUCUGUUAAUCUUCAGGUCUUUGAAAAUGACUCCUUUUUUUAGAGGAGGUCAUUGUCUAUUCAUCAACACACCAAGGACUUUAUCCCAUGAAACAGGCAAAUUGGCACUGAAGCAGGACUGUCAAUCUAUAGCAUGAUCCUGCAUUAUUAUUAUUAUUAUUAUUAUUAUUAUUAUUAUUAUUAUUAAUAAUAAUAAUAAUAACCCACUUUAUCUCUCCCGCAGGAGACUCAAAGCAGCUUCACAUAAAAACAUCAGCAAUACAAUUCAAAGUAUACUAAUAUUAAGAUAUUAAAACAGCAUUAGAUAUCAUUCGUAUUUAAAAAAAGAUUAAAUUCAUAAAAACAGAAAAACACAACUUACCUUAUGUCAUGAGGAUGUUUUGCUUCUGUGCUGGCAUGUUGGCACUGAAGUAACAUCAAAAGGUGAACUUGCCCUUCUUUCCUACUCUCCCCACUUCCCUCGCUAUUCCCAAGAUUGUAAUCCUUGAUCUGAAGAUUUAUUUUUAAAUGUAAUCAGGUAGAAUUGUGAAAUUUCUAUUUUAAACAUUUUUUAAGAAUGGAACAGCAGAUCUGUGGGACUCUGUCAUUGAUUUCAACUUCUGCAAGAACACCAGGUUCAGAGCCUGAUGUGUCAAGCUUUCCAGAAGGUCAGGUGAGACACAGAUAGGUUGAAGGCAAAAUCAGAGGCUUUAUUCUCAAUGGACAGAGAAGAUGUUAGUGGACACAGCACUCCAAAGAACUGAUAAAACACAUUUGCGAACAUACUAUUUAUAGCAUUUUGACAGCUAGGCUGGCUUCUGUCUGAUCUAGAAAAUGACUGGCUAGGAUCCACUCCCUGUUUGGUCCAGGACUCCGCCCAACGUCAUUGCUGGUUGAUCCCCACCAUGGCAGGAAAGUUUCAUAAACUGUUAAUUGAAUUAAUUUGAAGAUUUGUGACCAUUUAUUGAUUCACCCAAGAAAGGGGCAUAGUUGGAAGGGAAUGUGGUGGGGCAAGCAAUAAUGGACUGAAAAGAGGCUUGAUGUCUCAGCUCUAGUUAAUACAAUGUGUGCCAUUACGACAGACAGAGUGUUCAGAAAAUUUGGCCAUUUCAAAGAGAGCCCCAAUAAGAGGUCCAAUUUGUUGAAUAGGGAGAAACAGAAAAAACCCAGAGGCUUUUGCAUAAACCCAUUGUGUGUCCCAUGAGUUUUCCCAGACCAUUGUGAGAGAAUUAUUAUAAUCAUAAAACUACAGCCUGAGGACCAGGGUGUGAUCAGGCAACAUUCCAAUGGGAAAUCAUGAAAAGCUACUGUAGAAUCAUAGAAUCAUAGAAUCAUAGAAUAGUAGAGUUGGAAGAGACCUCAAGGGCCAUCUAGUCCAACCCCCCGC